rnacentral:rRNA from 1 species
GACGAACCGUCCUAACGUUGUUCGGAAUCACUGGGCUUAAAGGGCGCGUAGGCGGGCUGCCAAGUCCGGGGUGAAAUCUUUCGGCUUAACCGGAAAAUAGCCUUGGAUACUGGUAGUCUCGAGGGAGGCAGGGGCCGUCGGAACUUCCGGUGGAGCGGUGAAAUGCGUUGAUAUCGGAAGGAACGCCGGUGGCGAAAGCGAACGGCUGGUCCUCUUCUGACGCUGAGGCGCGAAAGCCAGGGGAGCAAACGGG